rnacentral:lncRNA from 1 species
CAAAAAUCAGAGCUCCCCAGGCAGCGCCGUUCUCCCCCGUGCCCAUCCCAUUCCAACGCCUGGCGGAGUGGUCGGAGCUUCCCCUGCGUAGGAAGCUCCUCGACGUCUGCUUCCCGCGACCGAAUCCAUGGCAGCAGAGUGGAUCUCGUGAAUAGGGACGGGAUGGCAGCGUGGCGCCGGUGGCCGGGCAGUGGAGCGCGGCGGCGCCUGGGCCGAGGGCACCGCUGGCGUAGAGCAGGCAGGGGGGCUGCCACGGCGACAGGGCGCGGAGCCGGCGGAAGGCGGCGUAUGCCGCGUUCCGGGAGGUGCAGACGGCGCCGGAGUUCCAGGUUAGUUAAAAUCAAACACACACUAAAAAUUCUUGUUCUUCCGUGCGUGCCAGCUGAUUAAAUUAAAGAAAAAAUUCAGGUGGUGGAUAUCCAGCUAAAUCUCCACUGCAUGCGCUCGGUUAGCAAUCUCAUAUUCCGUUCUAUCCACUUCAAUUCAAUUAACUAAUACUGCUAGUAGCUUUCUUGUAGGAUCUGGAGGGCAGAUAGCAAUGCAUCCCUUUAAGACAGAAAAAAAAAAUCAUUUUUCGGUCCCCAUGGUUGCUGGCUUUGUUUCCUCACGGCCAUGGGAUUCAUGGUGAAUGGCAGCAAGCGGUGGCGUAAUCCACACGAUUCUAGGUAAUGCUUACUGUGUAUUGUCAAAGAAAUGCUUGUUCGGACGAUUGUCGCUGCUGGGUCAAUUCCCGCUGACGGGCGAUGGGAUCGUGUUGACCUGAGCUUCCGCGCACACUGUAGCAACGCACGCCGCAGCCCUCUUGCAGUAGAUCAUAAUUACCCUUUGCUCACGCGCGCGGCGCUGUGAUGUGACUACACGCCGCCCGCCUGCAUACACAGUGUGGUGACGCGAUGCGCCGCCUCGGUAACUGGCGGGCUUACCGUGGUGUCAGCCAUACCUACCCGCCGUGUUAGAGGGUAGCCCAUACCCUGACUCAGCACGUUCACCCCAACCACCCGCAUUUAAUGCGGUAGUUUGGUUGGUUUCUCGCAGAAGACUGGAACCCUUCGGACACAUGGCGGCGUGGUUUAGCAGGCGCUCCCGCAGGGAUACGUGGCGGCACCGGACCUCCUUCCCAGAGGGAUAGGAGGUCCGGGCCCCCGGGCAGGCCCAGGCGCUCAGGCCCCUGGGGGUCCGGCCUUGUGACAGCCGUUCCUGAGCACCUUGUCCUUGCGGGCACGCGGAGGCACCGGACCUGCCAGGCCGUGGAGGGAGGUCCGGAGACCGUGCCCCCAGCCAUCAGGUCCGGGCCGUACGCCCUGUCAUCCAAAGGCAUAGGGCGAGGUUACGGAUACCCUCACACCCUUCGGGCUGGACACACUAGUAGGAGGUAUCCUGUCUGUAUGUACCGACAUUAAGAUUUUGGACAAUAGUGGAGUAAUCUUGUAUAACAACAAAUUUUUUUAAAAAAAUUCGGUUACAUAUACAACCAUCUACGACUAAGCAUCUCAUGUUUCAAUGACUAAUUAUUCCUUGCUCCGUAGUUUAUAAAAAUAUUGAGUCAAAUUACUUCAUGCAUAAGUAGUCAAGUACUCCUUAUUUCUAUAGUAAUUACUCCAUGAUUCGAUGACUAAUUACUUCUUCUUGGUCAAAAGUACCCGAAUAUUGCCUGUUAAUUACUCCUCCUGAAUGCUUAACUACUCUGUAC